AUGAAGAUGUUUGUGGUGUUUGUGAUCCUCGUGCACGGUAAGAAGCAUGCCUCAGUUGUGGAGCUGUAUGAGGGGGAGGAGUUUGUCCUGCUGCCCUGUGAGUAUCAAAUGUCUGAACUGGACAACCCCACAGUGGUGUGGAGCCGCUACGAUCUCAAUCCUCCAACCGUCCACCAGCGUCAGCAGGAAGGUGAUGAACUUAAAGACCAAAACCAGCUUUACAGCGGCCGAACAUCCAUGAUGGCUGACGCUCUGGAAACUGGAGACCUCAGCCUCAGUCUGACAAAACUCCGCCUCUCUGACAGCGGCAACUACACCUGCACCGCCAGAGCAUUAGGAGGACAACGGAGAGUAAGAGACAUACAGCUGCAGGUCAAAGCACGGUUUCCAUCCUGGGCCACAGCUCUCCUGGUUCUCCUCGUUCUCCUGGUUCUCGGUCUUAUUGUUGGGGGUCUUUUUGUGUAUUUUCGGCAGUAUUUCAUGUCAGGUACGUCACUACUACAUUACCCAUAAUCCUGAUGGUUACCAUCUUUACUCUCGUAUCUUUGUGACUGUUGAGCAAGUUUUCAUAGAAAUAUAGGACGUUGAGGGCAACUAUAAACCAAAGGUCACACUGCCUACUUGAGCAGUGUGUGGUGGAAUCUCGCUCAUAUGUUAACAGAGCUUUUAUUGUAUUUGUAUUUAUCAAAGGCAAAUUCAGUAUAGAAAAACAGGGCUGUGUAAACACCACGUGCUGGUCACACUCAGGUAGGCAAUGUGAACCAAGGGUAAGAGAAGGAUGGUGCAGUGAAGUCUUGUUACAAUCAGAGUAACUGCUGCUGUCUGUACAGCUUAAAUUAUGGUUGGUUGUUAGAGUUGUUCUGGGUCAAAGGUCAGUGUUGAAGAUACACGUCAGAGAUCUGUACUAGAGAUACAGGCUCGAGGUCAGUGCUGUAGAUACACGUCAGAUGUCAGUAGACACAGGUCAGAG
rnacentral:lncRNA from 15 species